AGAGUUUGAUCCUGGCUCAGGAUGAACGCUAGCGACAGGCUUAACACAUGCAAGUCGAGGGGCAGCGGGGGUAGCAAUACCCGCCGGCGACCGGCGCACGGGUGAGUAACGCGUAUGCAACUUACCUAUCAGAGGGGGAUAACCCGGCGAAAGUCGGACUAAUACCGCAUGAAGCAGGGGCCCCGCAUGGGGAUAUUUGCUAAAGAUUCAUCGCUGAUAGAUAGGCAUGCGUUCCAUUAGGCAGUUGGCGGGGUAACGGCCCACCAAACCGACGAUGGAUAGGGGUUCUGAGAGGAAGGUCCCCCACAUUGGUACUGAGACACGGACCAAACUCCUACGGGAGGCAGCAGUGAGGAAUAUUGGUCAAUGGCCGAGAGGCUGAACCAGCCAAGUCGCGUGAGGGAUGAAGGUUCUAUGGAUCGUAAACCUCUUUUAUAAGGGAAUAAAGUGUGGGACGUGUCCUAUUUUGUAUGUACCUUAUGAAUAAGGAUCGGCUAACUCCGUGCCAGCAGCCGCGGUAAUACGGAGGAUCCGAGCGUUAUCCGGAUUUAUUGGGUUUAAAGGGAGCGUAGGUGGAUUGUUAAGUCAGUUGUGAAAGUUUGCGGCUCAACCGUAAAAUUGCAGUUGAAACUGGCAGUCUUGAGUACAGUAGAGGUGGGCGGAAUUCGUGGUGUAGCGGUGAAAUGCUUAGAUAUCACGAAGAACUCCGAUUGCGAAGGCAGCUCACUAGACUGUUACUGACACUGAUGCUCGAAAGUGUGGGUAUCAAACAGGAUUAGAUACCCUGGUAGUCCACACAGUAAACGAUGAAUACUCGCUGUUUGCGAUAUACAGUAAGCGGCCAAGCGAAAGCAUUAAGUAUUCCACCUGGGGAGUACGCCGGCAACGGUGAAACUCAAAGGAAUUGACGGGGGCCCGCACAAGCGGAGGAACAUGUGGUUUAA
rnacentral:rRNA from 1 species